rnacentral:rRNA from 1 species
UUGAACGCUGGCGGCAUGCCUUACACAUGCAAGUCGAACGGCAGCACGGGUGCUUGCACCUGGUGGCGAGUGGCGAACGGGUGAGUAAUACAUCGGAACAUGUCCUGUAGUGGGGGAUAGCCCGGCGAAAGCCGGAUUAAUACCGCAUACGAUCUACGGAUGAAAGCGGGGGACCUUCGGGCCUCGCGCUAUAGGGUUGGCCGAUGGCUGAUUAGCUAGUUGGUGGGGUAAAGGCCUACCAAGGCGACGAUCAGUAGCUGGUCUGAGAGGACGACCAGCCACACUGGGACUGAGACACGGCCCAGACUCCUACGGGAGGCAGCAGUGGGGAAUUUUGGACAAUGGGCGAAAGCCUGAUCCAGCAAUGCCGCGUGUGUGAAGAAGGCCUUCGGGUUGUAAAGCACUUUUGUCCGGAAAGAAAUCCUUGGCUCUAAUACAGUCGGGGGAUGACGGUACCGGAAGAAUAAGCACCGGCUAACUACGUGCCAGCAGCCGCGGUAAUACGUAGGGUGCGAGCGUUAAUCGGAAUUACUGGGCGUAAAGCGUGCGCAGGCGGUUUGCUAAGACCGAUGUGAAAUCCCCGGGCUCAACCUGGGAACUGCAUUGGUGACUGGCAGGCUAGAGUAUGGCAGAGGGGGUAGAAUUCCACGUGUAGCAGUGAAAUGCGUAGAGAUGUGGAGGAAUACCGAUGGCGAAGGCAGCCCCCUGGGCCAAUACUGACGCUCAUGCACGAAAGCGUGGGGGAGCAAACAGGAUUAGAUACCCUGGUAGUCCACGCCCUAAACGAUGUCAACUAGUUGUUGGGGAUUCAUUUCCUUAGUAACGUAGCUAACGCGUGAAGUUGACCGCCUGGGGAGUACGGUCGCAAGAUUAAAACUCAAAGGAAUUGACGGGGACCCGCACAAGCGGUGGAUGAUGUGGAUUAAUUCGAUGCAACGCGAAAAACCUUACCUACCCUUGACAUGGUCGGAAUCCCGCUGAGAGGUGGGAGUGCUCGAAAGAGAACCGGCGCACAGGUGCUGCAUGGCUGUCGUCAGCUCGUGUCGUGAGAUGUUGGGUUAAGUCCCGCAACGAGCGCAACCCUUGUCCUUAGUUGCUACGCAAGAGCACUCUAAGGAGACUGCCGGUGACAAACCGGAGGAAGGUGGGGAUGACGUCAAGUCCUCAUGGCCCUUAUGGGUAGGGCUUCACACGUCAUACAAUGGUCGGAACAGAGGGUUGCCAACCCGCGAGGGGGAGCUAAUCCCAGAAAACCGAUCGUAGUCCGGAUUGCACUCUGCAACUCGAGUGCAUGAAGCUGGAAUCGCUAGUAAUCGCGGAUCAGCAUGCCGCGGUGAAUACGUUCCCGGGUCUUGUACACACCGCC